rnacentral:tRNA from 1 species
AUUUCUAAUUUAUAUAGUUUAAAAAAAACCUUACUUUUUCAUUGUAAAAUUAAAUAUUUUUAUUUUAUAA